rnacentral:rRNA from 1 species
UACGAAGGGGGCUAGCGUUGUUCGGAAUUACUGGGCGUAAAGGGCGCGUAGGCGGUGUGUCAAGUCAGGCGUGAAAGCCCCGGGCUCAACCUGGGAACCGCGCUUGAGACUGGCACGCUAGAGUUCGGGAGAGGAUGGUGGAAUUCCCAGUGUAGAGGUGAAAUUCGUAGAUAUUCGCAAGAACACCGGUGGCGAAGGCGGCCAACUGGACCAUCACUGACGCUGAGGCGCGAAAGCGUGGG